rnacentral:rRNA from 1 species
UACGUAGGGUGCGAGCGUUAAUCAGAAUUACUGGGCGUAAAGCGUGCGCAGGCGGUUCGCUAAGACCGAUGUGAAAUCCCCGGGCUCAACCUGGGAACUGCAUUUGUGACUGCAUCGCUGGAGUGCGGCAGAGGGGGAUGGAAUUCCGCGUGUAGCAGUGAAAUGCGUAGAUAUGCGGAGGAACACCGAUGGCGAAGGCAAUCCCCUGGGCCUGCACUGACGCUCAUGCACGAAAGCGUGGGGAGCAAACAGG